rnacentral:rRNA from 1 species
UACGGGGGGGCAAGCGUUGUUCGGAAUUACUGGGCGUAAAGGGCUUGUAGGUGGCCAACUAAGUCAGACGUGAAAUCCCUCAGCUUAACUGGGGAACUGCGUCUGAUACUGGCGAGCUCGAGGCAGGUAGGGGGAAGCGGAAUUCCGGUGUAGUGGUGGAAUGCGUAGAUAUCGGGAGGAACACCAGUGGCGAAGGCGGCUUCCUGGACCUGUUCUGACACUGAGGAGCGAA